AGAGUUUGAUCCUGGCUCAGGACGAACGCUGGCGGCGUGCCUAAUACAUGCAAGUCGAACGAAGCUUUCUUUCACCGAAUGCUUACAUUCACCGAAAGAAGCUUAGUGGCGAACGGGUGAGUAACACGUAGGCAACCUGCCCAAAAGAGGGGGAUAACACUUGGAAACAGGUGCUAAUACCGCAUAACCAUGAACACCGCAUGAUGUUCAUGUAAAAGACGGCUUUUGCUGUCACUUUUGGAUGGGCCUGCGGCGUAUUAACUUGUUGGUGGGGUAACGGCCUACCAAGGUGAUGAUACGUAGCCGAACUGAGAGGUUGAUCGGCCACAUUGGGACUGAGACACGGCCCAAACUCCUACGGGAGGCAGCAGUAGGGAACCUUUCACAAUGGACGAAAGUCUGAUGGAGCAACGCCGCGUGAAUGAAGAAGGCCUUCGGGUCGUAAAAUUCUGUUGUCAGAGAAGAACGUGCGUGAGAGUAACUGUUCACGUAUUGACGGUAUCUGACCAGAAAGCCACGGCUAACUACGUGCCAGCAGCCGCGGUAAUACGUAGGUGGCGAGCGUUGUCCGGAUUUAUUGGGCGUAAAGGGAACGCAGGCGGUCUUUUAAGUCUGAUGUGAAAGCCUUCGGCUUAACCGAAGUAGUGCAUUGGAAACUGGAAGACUUGAGUGCAGAAGAGGAGAGUGGAACCCCAUGUGUAGCGGUGAAAUGCGUAGAUAUAUGGAAGAACACCAGUGGCGAAAGCGGCUCUCUAGUCUGUAACUGACGCUGAGGUUCGAAAGCGUGGGUAGCAAACAGGAUUAGAUACCCUGGUAGUCCACGCCGUAAACGAUGAGUGCUAAGUGUUGGAGGGUUUCCGCCCUUCAGUGCUGCAGCUAACGCAUUAAGCACUCCGCCUGGGGAGUACGGUCGCAAGACUGAAACUCAAAGGAAUUGACGGGGGCCCGCACAAGCGGUGGAGCAUGUGGUUUAAUUCGAAGCAACGCGAAGAACCUUACCAGGUCUUGACAUCUUCUGACAAUUCCAGAGAUGGAACGUUCCCUUCGGGGACAGAAUGACAGGUGGUGCAUGGUUGUCGUCAGCUCGUGUCGUGAGAUGUUGGGUUAAGUCCCGCAACGAGCGCAACCAUUAUUGUCAGUUGCCAUCAUUAAGUUGGGCACUCUGGCGAGACUGCCGGUGACAAACCGGAGGGAGGUGGGGAUGACGUCAAAUCAUCAUGCCCCUUAUGACCUGGGCUACACACGUGCUACAAUGGACGGUACAACGAGUCGCUAACUCGCGAGGGCAAGCUAAUCUCUUAAAGCCGUUCUCAGUUCGGAUUGCAGGCUGCAACUCGCCUGCAUGAAGUCGGAAUCGCUAGUAAUCGCGAAUCAGCAUGUCGCGGUGAAUACGUUCCCGGGCCUUGUACACACCGCCCGUCACACCAUGAGAGUUUGUAACACCCAAAGUCGGUGGGGUAACCUUUUGGAGCCAGCCGCCUAAGGUGGGACAGAUGAUUGGGGUGAAGUCGUAACAAGGUA
rnacentral:rRNA from 1 species